CAAAUUGAGAGUUUGAUCCUGGCUCAGGAUGAACGCUGGCGGCGUGCCUAAUACAUGCAAGUCGAACGCUUUGUGGUUCAACUGAUUUGAAGAGCUUGCUCAGAUAUGACGAUGGACAUUGCAAAGAGUGGCGAACGGGUGAGUAACACGUGGGAAACCUACCUCUUAGCAGGGGAUAACAUUUGGAAACAGAUGCUAAUACCGUAUAACAAUGACAACCGCAUGGUUGUUAUUUAAAAGAUGGUUCUGCUAUCACUAAGAGAUGGUCCCGCGGUGCAUUAGCUAGUUGGUAAGGUAAUGGCUUACCAAGGCGAUGAUGCAUAGCCGAGUUGAGAGACUGAUCGGCCACAAUGGGACUGAGACACGGCCCAUACUCCUACGGGAGGCAGCAGUAGGGAAUCUUCCACAAUGGGCGAAAGCCUGAUGGAGCAACGCCGCGUGUGUGAUGAAGGGUUUCGGCUCGUAAAACACUGUUGUAAGAGAAGAAUGACAUUGAGAGUAACUGUUCAAUGUGUGACGGUAUCUUACCAGAAAGGAACGGCUAAAUACGUGCCAGCAGCCGCGGUAAUACGUAUGUUCCAAGCGUUAUCCGGAUUUAUUGGGCGUAAAGCGAGCGCAGACGGUUAUUUAAGUCUGAAGUGAAAGCCCUCAGCUCAACUGAGGAAUUGCUUUGGAAACUGGAUGACUUGAGUGCAGUAGAGGAAAGUGGAACUCCAUGUGUAGCGGUGAAAUGCGUAGAUAUAUGGAAGAACACCAGUGGCGAAGGCGGCUUUCUGGACUGUAACUGACGUUGAGGCUCGAAAGUGUGGGUAGCAAACAGGAUUAGAUACCCUGGUAGUCCACACCGUAAACGAUGAGUGCUAGGUGUUUGAGGGUUUCCGCCCUUAAGUGCCGCAGCUAACGCAUUAAGCACUCCGCCUGGGGAGUACGACCGCAAGGUUGAAACUCAAAGGAAUUGACGGGGACCCGCACAAGCGGUGGAGCAUGUGGUUUAAUUCGAAGCAACGCGAAGAACCUUACCAGGUCUUGACAUCCCUUGACAACUCCAGAGAUGGAGCGUUCCCUUCGGGGACAAGGUGACAGGUGGUGCAUGGUUGUCGUCAGCUCGUGUCGUGAGAUGUUGGGUUAAGUCCCGCAACGAGCGCAACCCUUAUUACUAGUUGCCAGCAUUCAGUUGGGCACUCUAGUGAGACUGCCGGUGACAAACCGGAGGAAGGUGGGGAUGACGUCAAAUCAUCAUGCCCCUUAUGACCUGGGCUACACACGUGCUACAAUGGCGUAUACAACGAGUUGCCAACCCGCGAGGGUGAGCUAAUCUCUUAAAGUACGUCUCAGUUCGGAUUGUAGGCUGCAACUCGCCUACAUGAAGUCGGAAUCGCUAGUAAUCGCGGAUCAGCACGCCGCGGUGAAUACGUUCCCGGGUCUUGUACACACCGCCCGUCACACCAUGAGAGUUUGUGACACCCAAAGCCGGUGGGGUAACCUUCGGGAGCCAGCCGUCUAAGGUGGGACAGAUGAUUAGGGUGAAGUCGUAACAAGGUAGCCGUAGGAGAACCUGCGGCUGGAUCACCUCCUUUCUAAGGAA
rnacentral:rRNA from 1 species